GAGGUGUCCCAUCACGGGAUUAGAGAGUUCCACAUUUCUUCUUCUUCCUCUCUUGCGUCCUAGUCAUGAGCCCCGACAGCAUAGCUGACCUCAGCCUGUGGACUCACUGAUGCCCAGCAGCCUCUCUGUGGAUGAUGAUUAAUGAGCCACUGUCCCCCCCUUCGCAUCAACUCCCAGUCCAAGCCAUCUAACUCAGUGUGUAUAGGGCAUUGCUCAUUCUCGGGAUGCCAUGUAGCACAACUUCCAGGAAGUUGCUGAGAUGCCCAGGGCUCUGCUGAGGUAAUUGAAGCUUUUCUGACAGCUGAACUGGUAGAAAAAUAAUCUUCUCCCCCAGAACCAUCUUUGCGUGUGUGUAUCUCUCUGUGUGUCUUGUCCCUGUCGCUCCCCCAGUGAGUGUGU